GGGGGGGGGGGGGGGGGGGGGGGGGGGGGGGGGGGGGGGGGGGGGGGGGGGGGGGGGGGGGGGGGGGGGGGGGUGAUGGAUUCUUCCCAGAGGAAAAAACAAAACAAAAAAAAAAACAAAAAAACAGUGGGCCUUAAAGCUGCUCCGGCGCGGGAAGGUUUGGGAUUGGGAUGCAACUCGGAGGUUGAGGUUGGGUUUUGUUGGGAUUGGUUUUUUUCCUUUUCCCAGGAAAAGGUUUGCAGAAGCCAUAGAAGUCUUGGAAGAGCGGUCGCUGCCUGGAGAGCUCAUCCAGGGCCUCUCAAAGCGGGGUUUUGUGUCCGUGUUGGAGCAGCUCCCGUGGGAUGAGCGCCGUCCACGGGGAUCACUCGGAGCCUGGGAGUGCAAAGUGUGGCUUUAAAGGGGGUGGGGGGGUGGUUUUCCUAGGGAUUUGCUUUUUUGGGAUGAAAAAUCCGCAGGUGGGAUUUUUUGCCGGUUCUCUGCCUGGAGAUCCUGGAGCUGGAGGGGUUUUUCAUGGAAAACACGUGCCCGGCAUCAUGGAAGCACAACUGGGAGCCUGGAGCACACAGCCCCAGGUCACCAGCACCAGUGUCCCCUGGGAGCUGGGAUCCCUUAUCCCGGUCACUGGAAUUCCCUCAGAGCUGGGAUCCCUUAUCCCGGUGUCCCCUCAGAGCUGGGAUCCCUUAUCCCAGUCACUGGAAUUCCCUUGGAGCUGGGAUCCCUUAUCCCAAUCAUUGGAGUUUCUCAGAGCUGGGAUCCCUUAUCCCAGUGUCCCCUUGGACCUGGGAUCCCUUUUCCUGGAGCUCUGUGUUUUCUAUGGGAUCUUGGAAUUCCAUCUGAGAGGUUCCUUGGAGCUUUGGGGACAUUUUUGGGACAUGGAGCUCUUCUGGAGUCCCUCAGGAAAUUCAAGAAUUGGGGAAUUUUCAUUUUUCUCCUGCUCCAUCCAGCAGUUUAACAAUUCUAUCCCAGAGGUUUUUCCAGCUCUCCCUGUGCUGGAAUUCCCAGAGAAGCUGUGGCUGCCUCUGGAUCCCUGGAAUGUCCAAGGCCAGGUUGGAGCAGCCUGGGACAGUGGAAGGUCCCUAUGGAAUGGGAUGAGCUUUAAGGUCCUCCCCACCAAACCAUUCCAUGAUUCCAUGAUCCCACCUGCUGCCUGGUCCCGAACUCGUGGAUGGACUUUGGGAAUUCCCACUGCUCCCAUUCCAUGUUGGAGCUGAUCCCGAUCCCAAAAUCCCGGGAACAAGGACAACACCCAUCUCCAUCUUUUUAUUGCUUUCACUUUUUAAGGCUUUUCCUUCUUUUCUCACCGACCUUGGAGCGACUUUUUCCCGGCUUUAAUCCGCGCGCUCCGGUCGGAUCCGUCCAUCCGAAGGAUGGUGGAGGAGAAAUUCCAAUACCAAAGGUAGCAGAGGGGAAUUUUUUCCGUGCCCAUGGAAACCCAACGGACACAAACCCACCCCAAACCUGGGAUUCCUUCCCUAAAAUCUGCUCCUUCCCAAAAAAUCCGCUCCACCCUCCCCCCACGUGUUUCCUUCCGUCGUUUUCCCGGUUGGAAAUCCCCGAGAGACUCCUUGGGUGCUGCUCCAGGAUGGUUUUGGUGCCUUACAGAGGCCAGAAUUCCUCUUGGUUGGGAUUUUUGGGAAUUGAUGCCGAUUUUUCCCACUCUGGAAGUGCUCAGAAGUUUGGGAUGGGCAUCCCAAGGUUGUCCCUCCUGUCCUUCCAUCACCUUCAGCGCAGGUGGAGCUUCCAGGAAUCCCCACCAGAAGCUGUAAAUCCUUGGGGAAUCCAUGGGAAUUCCUGAUAUUCCUGGGAUUCCGUUGUGCAUUAAAAGAGGAUCCUUGGCCAUGGGGCCAAUACCCAAAACCUCAUGGAAUUCAUUCCAGUUUGGGAUCUUUUUUUUGUUCAUUUUCCAUCUUCAAACUCCCAGAGAUCUUCGGGACCAAGAUCAGCUUUGAUCCCAGAUUUUCCUCUGGAGAUCCCUCGGCUCUUCCCAUGGGAUCCUCUCUCUGUGGCUCUCCUGGAAGUUUGGGAUGGGCAUCCCAAGGUUGUCCCUCCUGUCCUUCCAUCACCUUCAGCGCAGGUGGAGCUUCCAGGAAUCCCCACCAGAAGCUGUAAAUCCUUGGGGAAUCCAUGGGAAUUCCUGAUAUUCCUGGGAUUCCGUUGUGCAUUAAAAGAGGAUCCUUGGCCAUGGGGCCAAUACCCAAAACCUCAUGGAAUUCAUUCCAGUUCGGGAUCUUUUUGUUCAUUUUCCAUCUUCAAACUCCCAGAGAUCUUCGGGACCAAGAUCAGCUUUGAUCCCAGAUUUUCCUCUGGAGAUCCCUCGGCUCUUCCCAUGGGAUCCUCUCUCUGUGGCUCUCCUGGAAGUUUGGGAUGGGCAUCCCAAGGUUGUCCCUCCUGUCCUUCCAUCACCUGCAGCGCAGGUGGAGCUUCCAGGAAUCCCCACCAGAAGCUGUAAAUCCAUGGGGAAUUCCUGAUAUUCCUGAAACUCCGUUGUGCAUUAGAAGAGGAUCCUUCGUGGAAAACUUCAUGGAAUUCAUUCCGGUUCGGGGUCUCUUUGUUCAUUUUCCACUUGCAGACUCCCAGCGAGCUUUGAUCCCAGAUUUUCACCCGGAGAUCCGUUUGGCUUUUCCCAUGGGAUCCCCUCUCCGUGGCUCCCCCCACCCCAACAACACAAGCACAACCCUCUCUGGAAUCCAGACAUUCCCUGGAAUCCAGGGAUCCCCUGGAAGCCGCUCAUUCCCCUUCUCCUCCUCCCCGGGCGUGGCUUGGCUGGGAUUUUGUUGGAUUUUCCGGGAUUUUCCCGAGGAUCCCGAUGGAAAAUAUGCAAUAAUUUGUUUACAGGAUGCUCCGGGCAGGGCGCUCCUCCGGGAAGCUCUUUAAGCACAAUGUGCACAGGAUAGUUUUGUAUUCCGCCCCUCCGGAAUUUUUUUGGUGGGAAGAGGUUCUCCUACGUUUCUAUGGGACAUUGGGAAUGCUUGGAAAGCUUUCUAAGACUGGGAAAUAAAAAUUUUUUUAUCUUAAGAAAAAAAAAAAAUAACCUUGGGAUGUUUCCGUUAUUUGGGGAUUUUUCUAAUUAUUUUCUUUUCCAGAUAUUUUCUUUUCCAGAUAUUUUCUUUUCCAGGUAUUUUCAUUUCCAGAUAUUUUCUUUUCCAAAUAUAUUCCAAUUUUGGUUUUGUUUUUUUUCCUGCGGUGGGUUUGAGGUGUCACAUUUUUAAGGCUUUUUUUUCUACUGGAAAAGUGGAAAAAUAAGGAUUUUUCCUGUUAAUUAAGAGUUUGGUGAUUGAGGGAAGGAUGUAAGUCCUGGUGGGAAUAAUUCCUGGUAAAUCCAGCUCGCUUGGGAGUUUUUUUGGGAUUUGUUCAAUGAGGAUUUUAAUGGAGUGGGGGGGGGGGGGGGGGGGGGGGGGGGGGGGGGGGGGGGGGGGGGGGGGGGGGGGGGGGGGGGGGGGGGGGGGGGGGGGGGGGGG
rnacentral:lncRNA from 1 species